rnacentral:rRNA from 1 species
UGCCAGCAGCCGCGGUAAUACGGAGGGAGCGAGCGUUAAUCGGAAUUACUGGGCGUAAAGCGCGCGUAGGCGGCUUUGUAAGUCAGGUGUGAAAGCUCGGGGCUCAACCCCGGAAGUGCACUUGAAACAGCAAGACAUGAAUACGGUAGAGGAGAGAGGAAUUCCUGGUGUAGAGGUGAAAUUCGUAGAUAUCAGGAGGAACACCGAUGGCGAAGGCAUCUCUCUGGGCCGAUAUUGACGCUGAGGCGCGAAGGCGUGGGUAGCGAACGGGAUUAGAUA